GUUUGUUUUUAUUUAUAAUCUUUUUUCAUUUUUCGCGUCCACAACGGCUACUACCGCAAGAAAAACCGGGAUCAGAAACCAAGUUGUGGGAUAAUCUUUCGUAAUAUCGGAGAAAGUCGGUGCGGAUGUGCAGUUCCGGAUAGUGUUUCGGUUGGGGUAGGAACAUCGCCACAAAAAAGGAACCGUUGUGUUAAUUUCGGGAAGCGGCAAUAGCGGAAUCCAGGAAUCGGCAGCAUUUACCGCGACACUGAACGAGGCAAAAGUUCCAAUACCGCCACCAGCAAUUACCAUAACUUGUGGAGGUAUUUUUACUGGCACAUGCAACGAAGGUGUAUUCUUCCUCCAGGGUAAAUGAAAUUCGCCGUGGACAUUCACCUGACACCGGUUACCUCUGCCAUACAAAGCGCCAGCAACCACAUUUGGAAAUUCUAUCUAAACAAUCAUCGGCAUUUCGGUCGAUGCAUGAUGCACGGAUGUCGAUAUGGAGGUUCAAUAAGGUCAAUCAUCGAGUGGUGGAGAAACUGAAACUGCCGCCUAAUGCGAUGGUGACGCCCAACAGCAAAAUCAGCACAUUGAUACGGAGCUGGACCAAAUGAUGCUAGAGCUCUACCCAAAAUUGAUCUACCUACUGAUCCAGACUGAUCUUAGCCAAGAUUAUCGCCUGCUUAUUUUUAAUUUUAAGUGAAAUGGUUCAAGGAUGAUUUGAUCUGAACGGAUAUUUCAAGAUAUAUUGAUGUUGUGAACGAAGUACGGUAAAUAAUUUAUUGAAUUAUAGCCAUUUGUCUUGGUAUUAUACUGUUGACAAUUGA